UACGAGGGGGGCAAGCGUUGUUCGGAAUUAUUGGGCGUAAAGGGCGCGUAGGCGGUGCGGUAAGUCUCAUGUGAAAUCUCCGGGCUCAACUCGGAGCCUGCAUGAGAAACUGCCGUGCUCGAGUGUGGAAGAGGUGAGUGGAAUUCCCGGUGUAGCGGUGAAAUGCGUAGAUAUCAGGAGGAACACCAAUGGCGAAGGCAGCUCGCUGGGACGGUACUGACGCUGAGACGCGAAAGCGUGGGGAGCAAACAGG
rnacentral:rRNA from 1 species